GUCUAAGGCCAUACCACCCUGAACGCGCCCAAUCUCGUCUGAUCUCGGAAGCUAAGCAGGGUCAGGGCCUGGUUACUACUUGGAUGGGAGAAUCUCUAGAAAUUCCCCCAAAUGUCCUUUUUGUA
rnacentral:rRNA from 1 species